GUUAUAGAUUCAUAAGCUGAUGCCAUAUGGUGCAGUAUUUAUCACAAAGAAAAAGAAAUAACUAACCAACUAGAAGAAACUAAAGCAAGAAAUUGAAGACAAGAAGAUAGACGGCAACGUGAGUUUGAAAGACGAAGCUGCCUCUUACCUGCUUAGAAUACAAAAUCAUGGAAGCUAUUGAGAAGACUCUGCAAAUGGUCGGAUAAAGAUAAAGGAGUGACUACCGCAGCAUCGUGCAAAAGCAAUGAUGUCGAAUUAUUAACAAGGGAAGGAGUAAAGUUAAAACCACGACAUGUAUAAGCUUCUCCAUCUAUGGAACUAAUUUCUGCAUUUUUUUUUUUGGCCGCUUGGACCCAUUAGUAUUUUUGUAAUAAAAACGGAUGGAAUAUCGGAGAAGAACCCUUGGGAACAAA
rnacentral:lncRNA from 1 species